rnacentral:misc_RNA from 1 species
UCAGAGUAGUUACGGAUGAGCCGGUUGCAAACAUGGGAUGCGAUAAAGCCAGCAGCCCCAGUAAUGAGGAUGUUCUUUGGCUUAUAUGUAGCCAUGCCAAAACAAUUUGAAUCCAAUUCAGGUCAAGAUGAAGCAAACCCAGAUAAGAAAUGUAAAUUCUGGAGACAGAGAGAGAGGGAGAGAGAAAGACAAGGAAAGAGAGAAGAAGGCUGAGAGAAAUUGGAGGAGUAAGAAGAGGAAUGAGUCCAAGCCAAAAUUUGUGUAAAA